UUCAUUUAAAGAAAGCGUAAUAGCUCACUGGUCGAGUCGGCCUGCGCGGAAGAUGUAACGGGGCUAAACCAUGCACCGAAGCUGCGGCAGCGACACUAUGUGUUGUUGGGUAGGGGAGCGUUCUGUAAGCCUGUGAAGGUGUGCUGUGAGGCAUGCUGGAGGUAUCAGAAGUGCGAAUGCUGACAUAAGUAACGAUAAAGCGGGUGAAAAGCCCGCUCGCCGGAAGACCAAGGGUUCCUGUCCAACGUUAAUCGGGGCAGGGUGAGUCGACCCCUAAGGCGAGGCCGAAAGGCGUAGUCGAUGGGAAACAGGUUAAUAUUCCUGUACUUGGUGUUACUGCGAAGGGGGGACGGAGAAGGCUAUGUUGGCCGGGCGACGGUUGUCCCGGUUUAAGCGUGUAGGCUGGUUUUCCAGGCAAAUCCGGAAAAUCAAGGCUGAGGCGUGAUGACGAGGCACUACGGUGCUGAAGCAACAAAUGCCCUGCUUCCAGGAAAAGCCUCUAAGCAUCAGGUAACAUCAAAUCGUACCCCAAACCGACACAGGUGGUCAGGUAGAGAAUACCAAGGCGCUUGAGAGAACUCGGGUGAAGGAACUAGGCAAAAUGGUGCCGUAACUUCGGGAGAAGGCACGCUGAUAUGUAGGUGAAGCGACUUGCUCGUGGAGCUGAAAUCAGUCGAAGAUACCAGCUGGCUGCAACUGUUUAUUAAAAACACAGCACUGUGCAAACACGAAAGUGGACGUAUACGGUGUGACGCCUGCCCGGUGCCGGAAGGUUAAUUGAUGGGGUUAGCCGCAAGGCGAAGCUCUUGAUCGAAGCCCCGGUAAACGGCGGCCGUAACGAUAACGGUCCUAAGGUAGCGAAAUUCCUUGUCGGGUAAGUUCCGACCUGCACGAAUGGCGUAAUGAUGGCCAGGCUGUCUCCACCCGAGACUCAGUGAAAUUGAACUCGCUGUGAAGAUGCAGUGUACCCGCGGCAAGACGGAAAGACCCCGUGAACCUUUACUAUAGCUUGACACUGAACAUUGAGCCUUGAUGUGUAGGAUAGGUGGGGGGCUUUGAAGUGUGGACGCCAGUCUGCAUGGAGCCGACCUUAAAAUACCACCCUUUAAUGUUUGAUGUUCUAACGUUGACCCGUAAUCCGGGUUGCGGACAGUGUCUGGUGGGUAGUUUGACUGGGGCGGUCUCCUCCUAAAGAGUAACGGAGGAGCACGAAGGUUGGCUAAUCCUGGUCGGACAUCAGGAGGUUAGUGCAAUGGCAUAAGCCAGCUUGACUGCGAGCGUGACGGCGCGAGCAGGUGCGAAAGCAGGUCAUAGUGAUCCGGUGGUUCUGAAUGGAAGGGCCAUCGCUCAACGGAUAAAAGGUACUCCGGGGAUAACAGGCUGAUACCGCCCAAGAGUUCAUAUCGACGGCGGUGUUUGGCACCUCGAUGUCGGCUCAUCACAUCCUGGGGCUGAAGUAGGUG
rnacentral:rRNA from 1 species